GGCAAGAUGGCCGAGUGGUCUAAGGCGCAGCACUUGAAUAACCCUAAUCUUGAUCAUUAGGUUGACAUGCUGUAUCUUCGGAUGCGUGAGUUCAAAUCUCACUCUUGUCG
rfam:Penicillium marneffei ATCC 18224 scf_1105668340984 genomic scaffold, whole genome shotgun sequence.